rnacentral:lncRNA from 1 species
AUCAAUCUUUUGAAAAAUAGAAGAUUAUAUUACUCAAAUAAUUAUGAUCUGUUUUCUUUCUUUUGUUUUUACUUUUUUUUUUUAGCAAGAUAGUAAGAGAAUAAAUAAAUUAGCAUAAUGUAAAUGAUAUAUGGUUAGAUAAUAAUGGACAUAAACAUAAAGUACUUGAAAUAAAAUGAGAAAUAAAAUAAAUUAUGAGCAAAUAAAU